UUCAUGCAGAACCUGCUCUGUGAUGAACAUAAUAUUUUCACACCUCUAUAUUUUGAAUAAGAAUAUGACCGUGCUUAGAAUCGCGGUGAAAAUUGGACAAGUCAAGACUAACUUGUCAGUAAACUAUAUAUGACUCUAUCAUAUUUAGUUUGGCAAAAUCAUCAGAACAUGUAAAUAAAAUAUAGUUAAAGGCAAAAUCUGAUACAUAUGUCUCAUUAGAAUUUGUUUAAUUUCAUUAGACAUUUGUAAACAAACAGUCGGCCAUUUUUUUUGUUAAUCACGUGUUACAAAUACAAUUGUAACAAACACACGCCAAUACUUUGUCGUAUUUAACCAGGAAAUACUGACUCCGACAGUUCUUAUUUAAAAUAAAUAUACAUGUACAAAGUAUACUAUUCGGUAAAAAAUGAUAAUUUUGAUUAAAUAUUAUUCAUUUUAAACUAUCCCAAGAUGCACUUUUCCAAGAUUUAGCGGGUUCUGAUUGGUCAGUAUUGGCGCACUUUAUGAUUCCGAGCGAAGGUUAAAAUGGACAAGAAGGUACUGUUGUAAAAUGGAGAAUUGAGAAGCAUUAAUAGCCUCUACAACAAGGAGAUAAUGCAGGAACGAAGAACUCAUGUCAAGCAUUGACAGCAUACAAAGUCAAUGUUUCCGGUGAUUAGUUGCAUCCUCUGUUCGGUGAUUCGGGUGAAUGUUUUGACCAGCUGGACGAUGUGAACGCAAGAUAAAUAGAACAGACAUAAAGUACAGCCCAGUAAAAGGAACAAGUUCAUCGCAAGAAGAAGAAUUUUAAUGCUACCACUGUCCAGAACUACUAAGUCUGCUGUAACCAUGAUGUGAUCAUAUGAGUGCUUCACCGGUCUGGACAAUGCUCGAAAAUCCCCUAAAAAGGCCUAUUUCCAUAAACUACGACUCAGGUUACAUCAACAACAGCCAAGGACACUCCUUAUUGAUUCGAAUGGACACAUCUCUACGACCCGACUAAACCUAUGCAGAACAAGACUUUUUAACUGUAAAGUAUUCUCAUUUCAAAAAACCUAUAAACUAUAAAAGUACUUCUUUUAUAUGAUCAAAUACCAGUAUAUUACAAUGUCUGUCUGUAAGCUAGAAUCUUAGAAAAUCACAUGGUUUUGACUUAUUAAAUGAUUGAUUAGACCUUGCAGAUAUUAACUUUCAUUUUCUUAAAUAAUUUUUUAUAUUUGCAAAUAUUGCAUAAAAUAUUAGACUCCAUGUAACAUAUAUCCUCACACCUCCAAGUUGAUAAGUGUUAACUACUUUUUUUUCCCAUUUUCUUUGUUUAAACAUUUAUUGAUAACUUAGUUUUUAAAUGUAAAAACACUGCAUUAGGAGAUGAAUGCAUGGGUCAUAGAAAUGAUAAAAUACACCAAACAAUAUUCAAUUAUGUCGUAUAUAAAAAUAUAUAAAGACAACAUAUACCCCAUGUAUAACAAUUUUUAUAUAACAAAAUUACUUGCAUGGAAAGUUGUUUCCAUGUGGGUUUUAUUUUAAUCUGUGUUAUGCAAUUAAUAUUGGAAUUAGCUUUUAUAUCAUAAGUAAAAUGCUGGUAUUGAUGAGAAUUGUAAGGUGAAUGAUCUGUGUGAUACUUUGUACUUUAUACAUUCAUGCUACAAAAAGCAAGUACAUGUACAUGUAGUAAUACUUGACAUAUAUAAACAAUGUAUAUUUUACUUCAUGUCUUGGAUUUAAAAAUAUUAAUGUAGGUACAGUAGUGAAAUGUUGGAAGGUAAACCGUGUGUAAAGAAGAUUAUUCAUCAGGAAUGAAGUGUGUUGCAAUCAGCAUAAUUAAUUAAAUGUGUACAUCAUA